rnacentral:rRNA from 1 species
UACGGAAGGUCCGGGCGUUAUCCGGAUUUAUUGGGUUUAAAGGGAGCGUAGGCCGGCUUUUAAGUCAGCUGUGAAAGUCCGCGGCUCAACCGUGGAAUUGCAGUUGAAACUGGAGGCCUUGAGUGCGCCGGAGGUAGGCGGAAUUCGUGGUGUAGCGGUGAAAUGCUUAGAUAUCAUGAAGAACUCCGAUCGCGAAGGCAAGUGUCCGGGGUGCAACUGACGCUGAGGCUCGAAAGUGCGGGUAUCAAACAGG